CGUACAUUGUCCGCUCGCUCAUGGAUUUAGAGUUGAGAAAAGUUUCAGCCGUCAGCAGCUUCUGCCGGGGACCAGCUCACGUCCACCGAAGCACAGUGAUGAAUCCUAGACAACACAAACAGCACAGAGCCUGGACGUUGGACCAGAGCGGUUUACAUCUGAUGGAUCAGGCCGUGUGCCGUGAUGUUUCCAAACUCCCGAAUCUGGAACGUCUGGGCUGCAUGUUCACACACAAAUCCUUUUCUUUUUUAAAAAGUGAUUUCUUUCAGUGCUCAUUCAUAUGUUUUGCCACAAUAGCCCAACUAACAAAUAACAUAAAAUUCAAUAAUUAUAAUAAAUGAAUAAACUGAGUAUUACAGA